rnacentral:ncRNA from 1 species
UCGAAAGUGGUGAUUCAAGCAAUCAAUGGAGAAGGAAUUUCUCCAUGGAGGACAUUCAUCGUCGAGAGGGAAACAGCCCGGAUCACCAGCUAAGGCCCCUAAAUGCUCAGUGAUAAAGGACGUAGGGGUGCAAAGGCAGCCAGGAGGUUUGCUUAGAAGUAGCCAUCACCCUUGAAAGAUUGCGUAAUAGCUCACUGAUCAAGUGACUCUAUUCUUUCACUGUUUAUGUAUUCAGUCAACUUCCAAUCAAUUUUUGAUAAUGUUAAAAAAUUUAGAAUGGGCAGA